UGCCCCAUGGCUGAGUUGGUUACAGCGUCCGACUGUUAAGCGCAAUCGGAAGGUCGUGAGUUCGAGCCUCACUGGGGCAG
rfam:Rhizopogon vesiculosus strain AM-OR11-056 contig28409, whole genome shotgun sequence.